UCAAAGAAAGGGGAUUUUAACCCCUACCCCUAGCUCCCAAAGCUAAGAUCCUAGCUUAGACUAUUCCUUG
rnacentral:tRNA from 1 species